rnacentral:rRNA from 1 species
UACGUAGGGGGCUAGCGUUGUCCGGAAUCAUUGGGCGUAAAGCGCGUGUAGGCGGUCCGGUAAGUCCGCUGUGAAAGUCGAGGGCUCAACCCUCGAAUGCCGGUGGAUACUGUCGGGCUUGAGUACGGGAGAGGCGAGUGGAAUUCCUGGUGUAGCGGUGAAAUGCGCAGAUAUCAGGAGGAACACCGAUUGCGAAGGCAGCUCGCUGGAACGUUACUGACGCUGAGGUGCGAAAGCGUGGGGAGCAAACAGG